UCAAGUAGCAAUGUCUGAAAUAAAUACGUAGCUUCAUUGUCAUCUUCUCUUUUUAGCAGAGCGUGUAGAACUAAGAACAAAUAAUAGAAGUUUUCACAGUUAGAGAUGACCAACCUAACUCAAGAGCUGUAGGCUAUGCAAAGGAAUUAAAGCAUUUUUUAGAAGUUUUCCUGAAAUGACUGAGGGGUGAAAAGGGCUUUGUUGAGGCAACAACCUCAAAAAGUCUUAUGACUGGGAAACCAGGCUGUCAUGCUUCCAGGUGGUUGGAAAGAUGGAUUGAAGAGGUGAACAGCAGCUUUCAGGAGCAGAUUAUCUGCAAAAUAGGAGAGAUCUGGAAGGACUAAUGGGACUGACAUAUCACUUUCAGAAAAAAUUGGCCGCUUGGGUGUGGAAUCAGAGAACAUAGUGGCCAGUAGCAAGCAGAAGAGGAACCAGAGGUCUGGGAAAAGACUAGUUUCACAGCAAAAUGUGGCUUGUGGCAAUCUGAAGUGACGGCUCCUAGCUUGUGCAAGACACUGGCAAUAGCUGAGAGACUAAUGUCUGCACAGAACCUGUUGGGUUUGUUCUCCAAAGAGAAGCACUGACCUGCUCAGUCCCACGUGUACCGGCUGGUGCCAAGGCAGAAAACGGUUGAAGGGGCCAGAGACGAUCAGCCACCCAACAACUGUGAUGGAGCAUCGUGUGUGAUGAUCUGAGAUGUCCUUGUCUGCAGCUUAUGAAUGCUGAGCGAUGCCAGGACACCUCUGCCAAGCUGACAGUUCCAUUCCUGAUGUGCAGCCUUUUCCAUUUUCUGAUAUCUUUUGCCUUCCUUU